AAUCCCCAGCAAUGCCUAGAAAGAAGCAGCAGAAGCCAAAGAGCCCCACUACUAACAGAGUCCUGAAGCCAAGCCAAGGCCAAAAUUCUCCCGUGUCAGGCCAGCUAAACCGCCAGGGGAGCUGGUACAGAAAGACACCAGAGGAGAGAGUGAGGCGCUCAGACAGCCUGAAGAAGCA